rnacentral:rRNA from 1 species
GAUGAACGCUGGCGGCGUGCUUAACACAUGCAAGUCGAACGGAAAGGCCCCAGCUUGCUGGGGUACUCGAGUGGCGAACGGGUGAGUAACACGUGGGUGAUCUGCCCUGCACUUUGGGAUAAGCUUGGGAAACUGGGUCUAAUACCGAAUAUGACCACUUCUUGGAUGUUGUAGUGGAAAGCUUUUGCGGUGUGGGAUGAGACUGCGGCCUAUCAGCUUGUUGGUGGGGUAAUGGCCUACCAAGGCGGCGACGGGUAUCCGGCCUGAGAGGGUGUACGGACACAUUGGGACUGAGAUACGGCCCAGACUCCUACGGGAGGCAGCAGUGGGGAAUAUUGAACAAUGGGCGCAAGCCUGAUGCAGCGACGCCGCGUGGGGGAUGAAGGCCUUCGGGUUGUAAACUCCUUUCGCUAUCGACGAAGCCACUUGUGGUGACGGUAGGUAGAUAAGAAGCACCGGCUAACUACGUGCCAGCCGCCGCGGUAA